UGAACACACCAGCAAGGGUUGGACAAA
rnacentral:misc_RNA from 1 species